CCUGCUCUUAGAAACAUUGCAGGUGUGGCUGCUCUGUCACAUGUGUGUCAGUUGGUAGCAGAAAGGAGAGAAGCUAUGUCCAUGCUCAGUGCUCUGCCUAUGAACAUCUGACCUAUGAACAUCUGAUAUU
ensembl:snoRNA LOC120103307 small nucleolar RNA SNORA17